GGGGGUAUAACUCAAUUGGUAGAGUGUAUGCUUUGCAAGCAUGAAGUUAUCGGUUCGAGUCCGAUUAUCUCCA